GACGAACGCUGGCGGCGUGCUUAAAACAUGCAAGUCGAACGGGGUCCAUGCAGUCGCAAGACUGCGGAAGACCUAGUGGCGAACGGGUGCGUAACACGUGAGGAACCUGCCCCGGAGACCGGGAUAACCCUCCGAAAGGAGAGCUAAUACCGGAUGUCCUCGUCUGAUCGCAUGGUCGGACGAAGAAAUGGAUUCCGCUCCGGGAUGGCCUCGCGGCCUAUCAGCUUGUUGGUGGGGUAACGGCCUACCAAGGCAGCGACGGGUAGCUGGUCUGAGAGGACGAUCAGCCACACUGGGACUGAGACACGGCCCAGACUCCUACGGGAGGCAGCAGUUAGGAAUCUUGCGCAAUGGGCGAAAGCCUGACGCAGCAACGCCGCGUGGGGGAUGAAGGCUCUCGGGUUGUAAACCCCUUUCAGCAGGGACGAUUGUGACGGUACCUGCAGAAGAAGGACCGGCCAACUACGUGCCAGCAGCAGCCGCCGUAA
rnacentral:rRNA from 1 species